AGAGUUUGAUCCUGGCUCAGGACGAACGCUGGCGGCGUGCUUAACACAUGCAAGUCGAGCGAUGAAGUUCUCUUCGGAGAACGGAUUAGCGGCGGACGGGUGAGUAACACGUGGGUAACCUGCCCUAUAGAGAGGAAUAGCCUUCCGAAAGGAAGAUUAAUACCUCAUAAAAUCACAGUGCUGCAUGGCACAAUGAUCAAAGGAGCUUGCUCCGCUAUAGGAUGGACCCGCGGCGCAUUAGCUAGUUGGUAAGGUAACGGCUUACCAAGGCAACGAUGCGUAGCCGACCUGAGAGGGUGAUCGGCCACACUGGAACUGAGACACGGUCCAGACUCCUACGGGAGGCAGCAGUAGGGAAUCUUCCGCAAUGGGCGAAAGCCUGACGGAGCAACGCCGCGUGAGUGAUGAAGGUCUUCGGAUCGUAAAACUCUGUUAUUAGGGAAGAACAAAUGUGUAAGUAACUAUGCACGUCUUGACGGUACCUAAUCAGAAAGCCACGGCUAACUACGUGCCAGCAGCCGCGGUAAUACGUAGGUGGCAAGCGUUAUCCGGAAUUAUUGGGCGUAAAGCGCGCGUAGGCGGUUUUUUAAGUCUGAUGUGAAAGCCCACGGCUCAACCGUGGAGGGUCAUUGGAAACUGGAAAACUUGAGUGCAGAAGAAGAAAGUGGAAUUCCAUGUGUAGCGGUGAAAUGCGCAGAGAUAUGGAGGAACACCAGUGGCGAAGGCGACUUUCUGGUCUGUAACUGACGCUGAUGUGCGAAAGCGUGGGGAUCAAACAGGAUUAGAUACCCUGGUAGUCCACGCCGUAAACGAUGAGUGCUAAGUGUUAGGGGGGUUUCCGCCCCUUAGUGCUGCAGCUAACGCAUUAAGCACUCCGCCUGGGGGAGUACGACCCGCAAGGUUGAAACUCAAAGGAAUUGACGGGGACCCGCACAAGCGGUGGAGCAUGUGGGUUUAAUUCUAAGCAACGCCGAAGAACCUUUCCAAAUCUUGACAUCCCUCUGACCCCCUCUCAAGGAAAAAGUUUUUCCCCUUCCGGGGGGAGAA
rnacentral:rRNA from 1 species